GAUGAACGCUGGCGGCGUGCCUAACACAUGCAAGUCGAGCGGGGUUGAAGCGAGAGGUAACUCGAGCUUCUACCUAGCGGCGGACGGGUGAGUAACGCGUGGGCAACCUGCCUCAAGGUUUGGGAUAACAGCCCGAAAGGGCUGCUAAUACCGGAUAUGCCUAUGGCCUCGCAUGGGGCUAUGAGCAAAGGGGAAACCCGCCUUGAGAUGGGCCCGCGUCCCAUCAGCUAGUUGGUGAGGUAACAGCUCACCAAGGCGACGACGGGUAGCCGGCCUGAGAGGGUGACCGGCCACACUGGGACUGAGACACGGCCCAGACUCCUACGGGGGGCAGCAGUGGGGGAUCUUGCACAAUGGGCGAAAGCCUGAUGCAGCGACGCCGCGUGAGCGAAGAAGGCCUUCGGGUUGUAAAGCUCUGUCUGGAGGGACGAACAAAAUGACGGUACCUCCGGAGGAAGCCACGGCUAACUACGUG
rnacentral:rRNA from 1 species